GAUGAACGCUGGCGGCGUGCCUAAUACAUGCAAGUCGAGCGAACGGACGAGAAGCUUGCUUCUCUGAUGUUAGCGGCGGACGGGUGAGUAACACGUGGAUAACCUACCUAUAAGACUGGGAUAACUUCGGGAAACCGGAGCUAAUACCGGAUAAUAUUUUGAACCGCAUGGUUCAAAAGUGAAAGACGGUCUUGCUGUCACUUAUAGAUGGAUCCGCGCUGCAUUAGCUAGUUGGUAAGGUAACGGCUUACCAAGGCAACGAUGCAUAGCCGACCUGAGAGGGUGAUCGGCCACACUGGAACUGAGACACGGUCCAGACGCCUACGGGAGGCAGCGGUAGGGAAUCUUCCGCAAUGGGCGAAAGCCUGACGGAGCAACGCCGCGUGAGUGAUGAAGGUCUUCGGAUCGUAAAACUCUGUUAUUAGGGAAGAACAUAUGUGUAAGUAACUGUGCACAUCUUGACGGUACCUAAUCAGAAAGCCACGGCUAACUACGUG
rnacentral:rRNA from 1 species